rnacentral:rRNA from 1 species
UACAGAGGGUGCAAACGUUGUUCGGAAUUACUGGGCGUAAAGCGAGUGUAGGCGGUUUGGAUAGUCGGAUGUGAAAGCCCCGGGCUCAACCCGGGAAGUGCAUUCGAUACUCCCAAGCUAGAGUAUCGGAGAGGUUGGUGGAAUUCUCGGUGUAGAGGUGAAAUUCGUAGAUAUCGAGAGGAACACCGGUGGCGAAGGCGGCCAACUGGACGAAUACUGACGCUGAGACUCGAAAGCGUGGGGAGCAAACAGG